ensembl:miRNA
UAUACUGGACUUGGAGUCAGAAGACUUGGGUUUGGGAACUGGGCUAGCCUCUUAUGGUUGUGUUAAGCCCAACACACAGUCUUUCUGACCUGGA